rfam:Schistosoma curassoni strain Dakar, Senegal genome assembly, scaffold: SCTD_scaffold0005073
AUCCAGCUGACGAAUUCCAAAUAGGACAAAACGUGUAUCCUGGAU